UCUUUCUAUUUUCUUUCAUAUUGUUAUCACUACACAAUUUGUGUUUACUUUUUUCAGAUCAACAUCCAUGGCAUCUUCUUCUUCUUACGCGAGUGAUCCAAAAUACUAUCCUCGAUGGAAGUACAAUGUAUUUCUAAGUUUUAGAGGUGUUGACACACGGAGAACAUUUACGGGUCACUUGUAUGAAGGUUUGAAAAAAGGGGAAUAUUCACCUUUCAAGAUGAUAAAAGGCUAGAGAAUGGCGAUUCCAUCUCAAAAGAACUCUUGAAAGCUAUAGAAGAGUCUCAAGUUGCCAUAAUCGUUUUCUCAAAGAAUUAUGCUACAUCACUAAAAAAAAGCUAGAGCUUCGCUCGGUUGGCCUUCCUACGCUGACGAAUGCCUCUUUUCUCUUCUUUGAAGUCUACAACAAACAAGUGGGAGACAGGAUUCGAACCUACGUAGAAAAACUUCAACAGAUUUACAGUCUGCCGCUUUUGACCACUCGGCCACUCUCCCCUCUCGGGUGCUUGAAUGAACUAAUGAAGAUUAUGGAAUGCAAGGAGGAAGAAAAUGGACAAAUGGUCAUUCCGGUCUUCUAUGACGUGGAUCGAUCACAUGUUCGAUACCAAAGUGAGAGCUUUGAAGAAGCAUUGCCAAACACGAAUUGAGGUAUAAGGAUGAUGCUGAAAUGAUGCAGAAGGUGCAAGGAUGGAGAACUGCCCUAACUGUUGUCUGAAAUCUAAAAGGAUAUGAUAUCCGUGACAGGAUUGAAUCAGAAUGUAUUCGGGAACUUGUUGACGAUGUUUCUUCAAAAUUAUGCAAGACUUCUUCAUCUUAUUUGCACGAUAUUGUGGGAAUAGAUACUCUUUUGGAGAAAGUAACAUCCCUUCUAGAGAUGGAAACUAAUGAUGUUCUGAUGGUGGGGAUCUGGGGAAUGGGAGGAGUCGGUAAAACGACUAUAGCAAGAGCUAUUUUUGAUAGACUCUCACCUCAAUUUCAGGGUGCAAGUUUCCUUGCAGAUGUAAAAGAAACUAACACAAAUGAAAUCCAUUCUCUGCAAAAUACCCUUCUCUCUGAGCUGUUAAGGAAAGACAAAAAAUGUGAAUAAUAAGAAGGACAGCAAGGCUAUGAUAGCUCAUAGACUUCGUUUUAUGAGGUUUUAGUUGUGCUUGAUGACAUUAAUCAUCAUGAUCAUUGGGAGUAUUUAGCAGGGGAUCUUUGUUGGUUUGACAAUGGCAGUAGAAUUAUUGCAACAACUAGAAACAAACAAAUUAUAGGGAAGAAUAAUGUAGUGUAUGAAGUGACUACACUUCGUGAUGCUAUUCGGUUGUUCAGUCAAUAUGCUUUCAAGGACAAAGCUCCAGAUGAGCAUAUUAAGAAGCUGGCAUUGGAGGUAGUAAGUCAAGCUAAAGGCCUUCCGUUAGCAUUGAGAUUGUGGGGUAUUUUGUUACAUAAUGAAGAUGCAACUAUGUGGAGAGAUGUUGUAGAUAUGAUAAAGAGAGAAUCUAGUCCAUACAUUGUUAAAACCCUCAAAAUAAGUUUUGAAGGGUUGCCGGAUAAAGAGAACCAUAUUUCUAGAUAUCGCAUGCUUCAAUUUAGAGGAAGGGGGAAAUAUAAGACCAUAAAAAUUCUUGAGAGCUAUGAUUUAGGCGCUCGCAUCAGAUUGCAUGGUCUAAUUGAAAAAUCUCUUGUGUUCAUCUCUAAAUAUAAUACAAUUCAAAUGCAUGACUUAGUUCAAGACAUGGGUAGAUAUGUGGCGAAAAUGCAAAAAGAUUCCGGAAAACCUAGCAGACUAUGGAACAUUGAAGAUUUUGAAGAUGUGGUCAGCAAUACUGACAUGUGAAGUUACAAUUUGUGGUUUUUAGCAAGGGACCUGUCAGUGGAAGCAAUAUGGUGUAGUUAUAUUUAAAAACUAUGAUUUAGCAAAGAGGCAAUGAAAAUUAUGAAAAAGCUUAGGAUAUUAUGCAUAUGUGAUGGGAACGAAUUUUGUGGAAUAACCUCCUCCUCCUCGUCUAACUCCAAUUGCCAUGACGGCUCCAUUGAGUACAUGUACAACGACUUGUGUUGGUUUAUCUGGCAUGAAUAUCUUUGGAAGUUAUUACCAAAAAAAUUUAAACCCAGAAGGCUUGUUCAUCUUAAUCUCCGGUGGAAUUCGUUGCAUCAUUUAUGGAAUGAAACAAAGCAACUGCCGUGUCUACGGAGUCUAGGUCUAUGGGGCUCCAAAAGCCUGAAGAUAACACCUGAUUUCAGGGGAUGCCAAAUUUGGAUCUAAGAGAAUGUACGAGUCUUGAAGAGGUUCACCAUUCCCUGGAGUAUUGCGGAAAACUCAUCCAGUUAAUUAAAUUUGAAUGAGUGUAUAAGCCUUAAGAGGUUUCCAUAUGUUAAUGCAGAAUCGCUGAAUCUAAACUCAUGCAUCCUAUAGAGAUUACAUUGUCAUUCUCUGGGAUAAGGGACCUGUCAUCAUUAUCGGUCAUUCAUCUCCAAACUCAUGCAUCCUAUAGAGCUAGAUUUGAGUGGCAUGAAUAACAUUGUAUCUCUUCCAAGUAGCAUUUGUAAGUUGAAAGGUUUGGUGAACCUAUAUGUGUGGAACUGCGCAAAACAUGAAAGCUUGCCAGAAGAGAUAGGUGAUUUAGAAAAUUUGGAAGAGCUUGAUGCCAAAGAUACUCUAAUCUCAUGACCUCCGUCUUCCAUCGUCCGGUUGAACAAACUUAAAAAUAUUGACUUUUGAAAAGGAAGAAUCAGAAGAUGGAGUGUUCUUUGUGUUCCCUCAGGUGAAUGAAGGGUUACGUUCAUUGGAAUAUCUGGAUCUCAGUUACUGCAAUUUAAUAGAUGGAGGACUUCUGGAAGAUAUUGGAUCCUUAUCCUCCCUCUUUGAAAGAGUUGUAUCUCAAGGGAAAUACUUUUGAGCAUUUGCCUCUAAGCUUAACUCAGCUUGGUUCUCUUCUU